UUCAUGAAGGAAGAGUAAAAAGUACGAAGCGGACUAAGCUGCCGUAGCCGGAAGUAACACGGUGACGAUUUAUCUUCACUCUAUAGAUGGCACUGAGAUCUACGUUUGCAGGCAAUAUCAAAUUUUGUCAGCCAUUUUGAGUGGGUUUGAGCCAGAGGUGUUGCAUCUGCGAAGAGUUUUUAAAGGUCUGGAGAGGCACCAGUGAAGAGAUUGCUGUCCCAACCAUGAUGCUGGACUGAGAGAGCAGCGGUUCAGACUCCUCGGCAGUUCACGUACAGCUCUGCUGGAAUGGUACAGGUCACCAAUGUUUUGGCAGUACUUCUGCCACUAUUUAUUAAUGUCAGAGAUGAAACAUCAGUAAUGGUUACCAUUUUGACACAGUGCUGUACCCAGACUCAUUGCAUUCAUCCCCACUACAUGAUUUCCAAUUGAGAGUGACCAGCGACUUCCUACACCUGCUGUUACUGCACGAGAAGGUGUGGAAUUCUGUGUGCUCGAGGUCUGGAGAGGCAACAGUGAAGAGAUGGCUGUCCCAACCAGCAAAGAAUGUCAUACUGUGUAGGCCUGAGGAAGCAAUGGUUUAAGUGUAACCCUCUGUUGCAAUGUUACUGAUUACUUUUUUGAAGGAAUCUGCUGCCACAUAUUACAGCAGUGAGCAUGGAUUGUCAGUAAUGAAUACCAUUUUAACAGUGCUGUGUGCCUGGACCCAGAACAUUCUUCCCCACUGCACUGCAUCCACAAGGAGCCCUUCAGACCAAGAGUGACCAACAAGUUUCUCUACCCCUCUGUUACUGCACGUGUGUGCUGUAGGAAUGGUGUCAAGGAAGCAGAGCUGUUCUUAGGGAUGAAGGAGGUAGUGUUGCUGAGUGAGUGAGGAUCAUGCAGUGACUUCCUCUUCAGCUGUGCACCACCCAUGAGCCACCCCUGUACUGAAGGGAGGAUGAUGAGAGGUAUGAGAGUUUUCGCACUGGAGAGGAUAUGUCUGGGGUGCCUGGAAAUUUUAUUUUCUACGAGAUAGUAUGCACAGGAAAUCUCAACAUUUUCCAGUGUCCAUUGCAGCUGCUUCUCCUUUUCCCUUCUAUGCACAACCUUCAAAACAUCAUUUCUUUACAUUCCUCAACACACAACUUUCAGAAUUUCCUACAUUCUUUAUGUGUUUCAUAACUUUAAAAUGAAAAGUGAAUGUUGUUGUAAAGUUCAAUUUAUAUAACUGUGUAGCUUCAGUAACAACUUGUUCAAAUGUAAGCAUGAAGACAAGUGAAGCAUUUGAUGAGUAGCGAAGCGAAGAAGUAAAAUGGAUGGAGAGUAAUAACUGAUGAGCAGCACUGGAAAAAGUUGAAGAGUGUUUUGCGCACUAUCUCCUGAGAAAUUAAAUUCCGUGCUGGGCCCACACAUGUCCUCUCCAGGGCGAAGCUGUCCAUUAGCAUCCUUGUGUUCUCCCAAGCAUGUGAACAGACAAAAUAAAAUCAGUAAAGUACCCCCAAAUAUUACCCCCACCUUAAGUCACUUUACUCUAUACAAAUAGCUUAAUGCAGUUUCCUUGUAUCCAGUACAAGUAACUCAGAAUGGGGGCAACAAGCUGCUCCAAACCAAAGUACUGUAAGAAAAGUUUUACAAAUAAGCAUACCCUAUUUGAAUAGUGCCAAGCACAGUGAUCCCAGUGUUAAGUGUGUGUGGCAGAAAGGUAGUCUUGGUAAAAGCCAAGCUUCAAAUCUCAGUUACCUUUAUAUUCUGUCAGAAUGAAAUAAUCUACUUAGGGUAAAAAAAAAAAAAUAAAGGUAUCCCUGAAACGGGGU